rnacentral:lncRNA from 1 species
AAGUAACUCACAGAAAAGAUCUCAAACUAAACAAACAUGGUUAAAAAUGGGGUCUUUAUCUUUUCCUUAAACUAAGUAAACUUAACAGAAUGCAAUUUCUAUCACAUAUAUAAAGAAGAAAAUGAUAAUUUAACUAAUUUUUAACAGAUUUACAUGAUGAUAACACUAAUAUAACAUUCAUCUUGAAACAAAAUCAAAUCUAACAUGUUCCAUCAACCAAACCGGGAUUAAAUCCUUCCUAUUAUCAUCAAGAAUCUGCAAUAUAAGAAUUUGAAAGUUACUUGAUUUGUAGAAUAAUAAAAUACAGCAGUGCAGCAACAAAAAUAAAAUUCAGCAGCAAAUACAGUAGAAACAGCAGCAACUCAAGUGUUAAGACAACCCAGAAAACUCAACAAAGAUACUUGAAAUGGUAGCUAUCAACUUCACAAAUUGCCUAAGCAAUCUUUCUAUUUUUCUCAAAGUUUUUUGCACUCAAAUAAUACUCACAAAGCUCUGAAAUUUCAGCUUGCUAUAUGUAUUUAGCUGCUGAUUUUUCUCAAAAAUAUAUGUCUUUAAGAAACUCUCCAAGAUCUGUCCCCGUGUAAGAUAGUGUGUGCGCCUCUUUUAUAGGAGAAGAGAAGCCCUUUAAAUAGGCAAAUAAAUCAGAUUUUUCAGAUAGAUUUUGGUUCACCAAAAGUCUGUCCAAAAGACUGAUUUUGUGUGCUAAACACUGUUCAAAAGUUGUCAAAAAGUAUUGUAUUUGUCACCACACAAUGACUUUUGAGUUUUGUACUCCAAAGUCUUUGCACAGUAAAAACAACCAAACUUUUACUAUUCCCUCUUUAAUUUCAGCUUUUAUCAACACAAAAUUCAAAUACUCAAAUCCAAUAAAAAUAAAUUCACUAAGCACUUGAAACUUUUUUCAUAAACUAUCAUGACUAAGCGAAUAGCUAUUUCAAAACUAAUGAAUAACUAAUUAUCAGUGAUUAAUAACUAUGAACGACUAAGCUAACAUAGAUUAAAUACAACUAAUAAUAAAAAUAUAAAUAAUAAUAAUAAUAAUAAUAAUAAAUAAAAAAUCAUAAAUUAUGCUAGACAUAAACUAAAUACAAUACAAUUAGAAAACAUAGACAAAGGAAACGAGGAUAGGGGUAUACCAAACUAGGGCGUUCGGGGUGGUCGCCGGAAUUUGUCCGGAUUUUUAGUUGCCGGAUCUUCGUGAUGGAAUUGACAUCAAUAGGUAGGUCUUGAUGUGCUCUAUCUGUUGAUGUAGGUAUUGUAGGGUGGUAGUGGCCGGAACUUCAAGGCUUUGGGCAAAAAAAUGGCGGCUAAAGUUUCCUAGAUCUAAAAUUCAAGGAUUUUGUGGGGGUUUUGAAGGAUUUGGUUUGGAGAUAUGGAAAGAUGAGGCUGUGGAGAUUACAUUGUGUGAAUUUGGGAUCAUUUGGAGGUUGGACGCCGCCGAUGGGAGAUUUCCGGCGGGUGGCAACGGUGGUGGGGGCGAAUAUGGGAGAGAGAAGAGAGAGGAAGAAGAAACGAAUUAUGGGGGAAAUGAGGGAAUUUUUCAGAUUUUUGAGGCUUUAAAUACCUCUUGAGAGAUC